UGGCUACAUCAUAUUGAAACACUGGGUCCUGUAUGAUCGGUGAAGUUAAGCAAGAUCAAGCCUGGUCAAUACCUAGAUGGGUGACUGCUUAGGAAUACGAGGUGCUGCAAGC